ensembl:processed_transcript
AUAAGGAAAUAGGAAAGCAAACAUUUUAAAGGAAUCAGAGAGUGAGUGCAUAAUUUUGAAGCAGUCUUCUCUUGAAUGGUGAUAUGCACUACAGUAUGAACUGAAUCACUUCCAGGGAUGGUGAUAACUGACUUUAUACUAUGCUGCAAUUUAGAAGGGGGACACGAAACAGGAACCAAUACAUGGCUAAUGCAGAAUACUGGUUGCCUAGAGCUAAGAGCUCAGGCUGUAGACAACUGGAUCUUUGAAGAUUUAAUAGGUUCCUCGGUCUCUGUCAGUUGGUUCUUUCAGAAUGCCAAGCCUUAGCUCUGUUCUGCCUUAUACCUACUAUACUUAGCUAUGGAUUUUACAUGAAAGAAAUGCAGUUGGAUUUAAGCUAAUGGACAAUAAAGCAUUAGGGUUAGAGGUGCUGAUAUAUGCACAGCUAAACAAGGGUCUGCAGUGAAUUAGCAUUGAAAAUAGAUGGUUUUAUAGUGACACAAGCUGUAUGGCCACCAUGAUGUUCCUAGAAAGGAAAUGUUUAAAUUGUUAACACUUGCCUAGCACGUUGGAAUGUGAGAAAUAGCAAGAGCAGAAAAGAAAAAAAGCAAUGAAGACAUGGCUCAAUAGUAAACUCCGAGGUCACGCUUAGUGCUAAAGGCAAAGGUCUCAUUGAUUGGGAGGUGACCUGGUGACUAUACAAUCACCUGUAAAAAUCCAUGAAUGAGACAGAAAGACUGGCAUUAGAGCAGAUCUGAUGGUCUUUGAAAUGCAUGCCUUACCAAAGAAUGUACUAUUGUUCUGUCUAGACACAGUGACACAGUGUAAUAAAUAAAGACUGACAGCAUCGAUAUGUUUCAUAAAUAUAUAACUGAAAUGUUCAUCAUUUCUAGCCAUUAAUAUUUUCUCAAUUACCUUAGGUAAAGCAGUGUGUCCAUCUUAAAAAAUAAAAUAUACUGAAAAUACCAUUUGCUUCCAGACAAAGAAAUAAUGCCGUUUAUUUCUCAUUUCUCUGAACAUAUUCAUCUUCUUAAGUAAACCCUGGAAGUCUGAACCAGGAGCCAUAGAUAAUUCAUUAGCUUCAGUCCACAAGGCUAUUUUCUUAGAGACUUCUUGUACAUAUAAUAUCCUGCAAAGUUUUUAGAAGAUCGCUCCAAGGGUUUGGGUUUUUUUUUUUCUUGUUCCUCUUCUUCCUUGAAAAAUAAAAUAAACUGUGAUGGAUAGCUUGUGAAGCUAUCAGUCAGCAUCAUGGAGCUGAUGUACUUCUUUCUAAACAGUUUCUUUGGGGGAUAUGCAUAUUUUUUUGUUAAUGGAGCCAGAACCAGCAUAUGGGAGCUGAUCCGCAGGACUGUGUUGGGUUUUUUUUUUUUUUUCAGACUCACAUUUCCCAGGGCCGUGAUGCAGUCAAGGAAACUAAAAAUAUAACAUUGGAGAACAAUUAUUCCCUGUCAGGAAAUCUAUAAAUAUUCUGGGAAAGUACUAUGAGCUACGUAUCCUGUUCCAGGGAAGAGGUGCGCAGAGUUCUAUUAUGUCCUGACUUGCAGUUCUGUGGGACACAGACACACUUCAGUAUCUUUUAAAUUACUUAAAAAAAAAAAAAGAAAAACUUGGAAAAGUGCAUAAUUUCUUUGGCUGCGAGAGUCACUAAACGCAUGUGAAAAAUAGGACUUCCCUCAUCAUAUCCUGGUCCCAUGUCCUUUGGCCGUGCGUUUGCAAGUGUUUUACUGAAUAGAUGAACGUUGUGCCUGUCUCAUACCUAUGCAAUUUCUCCCCCAAAACCAUGGUCCUAGGAAAACAAACCAAAAUGAAAGGGUGCUCUUCAGAAGGGCGGGCUUAAUCUCCACAUCUCCCUUGGGAAGGUUGGGAUGUCAGCUAGCACUGGAGUAAGAGGAUAAUGUGCAGUUGAUGCCCCUCUGCACGGCUGUGGAUGUGAGACAGUUUUCCCACUUCUACCAAAUGCCAACUGUUUAAAAUCAGGAACCAUCUUGUCUACCUUUUUGUAUGUAAUUAUCAAUAACAGGCCCUCCCACUUGAUGUCACCAAUAUUUCUCUCUUUAAGAAUAAUUUUAUAUUUUAUAAUGUUCAUAUCCAUUACUUAAGAGUCUUGUUGAUACAAAUAAGUUAUCAUUUCAAAUAAUGUUUGUUCUUGUUAUGUCAUUUAAAAACUACUUUCUGAAUACCAAAUGUAAUUGCGUUGUCUUUUAUUUAAAUACUAUAGUUUAUAACUCUGAUGAGAUGUGCAUAAUUUAUGAAAAAAAUAUUUUAUUGAUUCUAAAAUGCAAAGCAAAAGACUCCAACUGUUGAUUUCAAACUUGUGAAUUAAGACUGGGUCCACAAACCACACCAUGAGAAUGCAAGCAAGUUUCUUGUCUGUUCUCAUAAUGAAAUUUUUACUGAAUGCAGCCAUACCACACUUCCAAGUAGUAGAGGGGAUUCAUACUCCCCCCUUACACCUGCAGGCAACCACUGAGCUCAACAAUGCUCUCAUUGUACCCACAGGAUAUUGGUCCUGGAUUAGCAUUGAACUUGCAUAGGGAGAGCAACACAAAGGUUGGUCUGCUCAGAAGCUUGGGAGAGCCCCCUAAGUCUGAAGAAAAAGCCAGAAAACCUCUGAACUUGCCUGAAUAUGUCGCUGUAAAGAUGCAUCUCUUCUACAUAGAUUCUUCUCAAACACAUGUGGCUCUUGGGCUUUGGAAUGUGAUUAGUGACACUAGAGAACUAAACUUCAAUUUAUAUUUCACUUUGAUUAUUUAAAUCUAAAUGACCACAUGGCUGGUGGUUAUUAUUUUAAGACUGAGUUAUAAGCUAUGUUAUUGCAAGUCUCACACCUAAUUCUUCAUUUGACUGUCAGACACUGCUUUCAGUACUGACCAACUGCACUGAGUGUUGUCACUAAAAGAGGUUCAAAGACAUGUAGAAUCUUUGCAUUUUUAGCAGUAAAUGCUGAUGAAUGGUACUUUCCUGCAACUAUAUCUCCUAUGCUCAGAAACUAGAGAAGCAGAUGUUAGCUUAGAAGAACCGAAAUGGUGGCUCACUGCACGGGAACUAAGAACUCCCCCGUACCUUUUCCUCAACAGUUCUUUUGCAAGAUACAAAUUUUAAUGAUUCUGGCAUUUACAACUGCCAUUCACUGCCAUGGAGACACCAUGUUCUCUUAAAUAAAAUUUUACAUGAGAAUUUAGUAUAAAGGCAGCAGCUUCUGGAGGUAGAAGUUUAAAUCCUUUCUUAUCUUAGCUUCCAUCUCAAUACUGGAGAUCUUUUGUAGCAAGUCUAGAGUUUCCAUGGAGUUUGGUUCAUAGAUUUGUGUGUCUUUUCAAUGUAUAUCCAUCCCUUAGUAAAAUCAAAAUUAUCACAAUUGCUCUAUAGUAAAGCUUGAGAUCAGGCAUGGUGAUUCCACCAGAGGUUCUUUUAUUGUUGAGAAUAGUUUUUGCUAUCCUAGGUUUUUUGUUAUUCCAGAUGAAUUUGCUAGCCAUUUUUACUAUAAUAAUCCUGCCAAUCCAUGAACAUGGGAGAUCUUUCCAUCUUCUGAGAUCUUCUGCAAUUUCUUUCUUCAGAGACUUGAAGUUCUUAUCAUACAGAUCUUUCACUUCCUUAGUUGAUCAAAUAAGGGUAACUUUAAGACAUGAGUGGUAUCUUAGUUAGAUUUUCUUAGCUGGGAUAGGACUUCAUGACCAAAUGCAAUUUGAAGAGAAAAGGGUUUUUUGUAGUUCACCACUCAGAAAAGUCAGGACAGGCACUUAAGACAGAGACCUGGGGGCAAUAUCUGAUGCAGAGGGCCCUGGGGGAAUGCUGCUUAGUGGUUUGCUCAGUCUGCUUUCUUUGAUUCCCUCAAGACCACCUUCCUAAGCUAUGCCCUCUAACAUCAUUCAGUGUCUUAAGGUUUUACUGCUGUGAAUAGACACCAUGACCAAGGCAAUUCUUAUAAGGACAACAUUUAAUUGUGGCUGGCUUACAGGUUCAGGGAUUCAGUCCAUUAUCAUUGGGGCAGGAACAUGGCACCAUCCAGGCCAGCAUGGUGCAGGAGAAGGAUCUGAGAGUUCUAUAUCUUCAUCUGAAGGCUGUUAGCAGAAUACUUGCUUCCAGAUGGCUAGAAUGAGGGUCUUAAAAGCCCACACCCAGAGUGACACACCUAUUCCAACAGAGCCUCACCUUCUAAUAAUGCCACUCCCUGGACCAAGCAUAUAUAAACUAUCAAAAUCACCAGUCAAGAAAAUGCCCCCACAGUCUUUCCUCUUCCCAAAACACUCUAGAUUGUGUCAAGUUGUAUCUAUUAACAAGAAUGACUAAAGAAGACAGUGAAGAGAGCUCAGGCUCCUCGUGUAGCAGUCACCAUGAAAUGUGCUUCGAAAUUUCUGCUAGAAUUCCAACUAUGCUGGGAGCAUUCUCACUCAGAAACCAUGCAUACACAUCUGUCCACAUUAAGCUAUCAUUCAAAACCAGGCAGUGCUUCUCUGUGAAGAAAAUCAUAAAAACUCAGAGUUAGUCCUUGCUGUCUGUGCAUCUUAUGGAAGUAUUUAUCUCCUACCAUAUCACUUAAGGUACACACAAGCUGAGGGGAGGUGGCAACACAGAAAACCUACCAUGUUGCCCAGGAUCAUUGGCAUGUGCUCCUCACUCUCCAUUAAAGCUCUCAGGAUUUGUACCAUUAGUGUUGGGUUGCAUAUGAUAAUACUCAGGUUGAGGUCUUUAUUCCUAAACCGCUUCUGAAGCCUUGUCUUGCAGCAUUUAACUGGACUUUUGGAUGUUGUACCUGUCAUCCACAAGUGUCCUUCCCUUUUCUGGGUGCCAUCUGAUAUUAGCAUUUAAUACUUUUACACAUUUUAAUAAUUUUCAUCAUAUCCAAAAGGAAUAUGGACUUUAUUAGGAAGAGAUGUGUACUUUUUUGCUCAUGGCUAUUAAAUAUUCAAAAUGUAUUGAAUGAAAGAAUACAGUAGUUCUUUUUUACUCUCUGCCAAUUUCAUUGAGGCCAAUGUCACUCAUCAAGAACUCGAAGCAUUGAUGUUUGACUUUGUUAGUUGGUUUGCCUUGUCCUAUAUAAAACCUUUAGGUAUAUCUUUUAGUACUUGCUCUCUCUAUAUUAAAUCUAGCUACACUAGAUGUUCAAUAUUGUUGAAAACUCUUUUUCUUAUUUGUGUUGUUCAUAGUCAAUCACAUGAAUUUCUCUUUUGUAUUUGUAAACAUUUUGGUUUUUUUCCUAGUAAACUGAAAAGUUUACAACUCACCCAACAUUUGUUCUCAUUGAUAAAAUAUGUAUGAGUGAACUCAGCUUGUUCUUGACUAAAGUUUGAAUUCCAUUUGGUGAGAGACAUUCUCAGAUUUCUAACUUAAUCAUUCAAACAACAACAGUCAGAUACUUUUAUAGGUCUUC